rnacentral:rRNA from 1 species
GUCUACAGCCAUACCACCCUGAAUGCGCCCAAUCUCAUCUGAUCGGGGAAGCUAAGCAGGGUCAGGCCUGGUUAGUGCUCGGAUGGGAGAAAGAAGUCCAGAGUGGACU